rnacentral:rRNA from 1 species
GUUAAACAUAAAGAGCGUAGGGUGGAUGCCUAGGCACUGACAGCCGAAGAAAGACGUGACAAGCUGCGAAAAGCUGCGGGGAGAAGCACAUAUUCAAUGAUCCGCAGAUGUCUGAAUGGGGAAACCCACUUGGAAGAACUCCAAGUAUCUGUACGCCAAUACAUAACGUACAGAGGGGAACCCGGUGAACUGAAACAUCUAAGUAGCCGGAGGAAAAGAAAACAACAGUGAUUGCGAAAGUAGCGGCGAGCGAAAUCGUAAGAGCCCAAACCGUGGUGCGUGCACUGCGGGGUAGAGGACUGCAAUACGAGUAAGAUAUAUUACCUGAACCGUUUUGGAAAAGCGGGCCAAAGAGCGUGAGAGCCGUGUAAGGGAAAAUGUAUUGAAUCCAGCAGUAUCCGGAGUACCACGAGACACGAGAAACCUUGUGGGAAGCAGGGGGGACCACCCCCCAAGGCUAAAUACUAGUCAGUGACCGAUAGCGUAUAGUACUGUGAAGGAAAGGUGAAAAGAACCCCGGGAGGGGAGUGAAAAAGAACCUGAAACCCUAUGUUUACAAACUGUGGAACACCGAAAGGUGAACCGCGUACUUUUUGUAGAACGGUCCGGCGAGUUACAUGUACAGGCGAGGUUAAGUAUUAAAGAUACGGAGCCGAAGGGAAACCAAGUCUUAAUAGGGCGAAUGUAGUCAGUAUGUGUAGACCCGAAACCGGGUGAUCUAUCCAUGUCCAGGUUGAAGUUCGCGUAAAAGUGAAUGGAGGACCGAACGCACAUCCGUUGAAAAGGGUGGCGAUGAGGUGUGGAUAGGGGAGAAAUUCCAAUCGAACCCGGAGAUAGCUGGUUCUCCUCGAAAUAGUUUUAGGACUAGCCUCGUUAUUAGUCUACCGGAGGUAGAGCACUGAAUUUUUGCGGGGGCGUCAAAGCCUACCAAGAGAUAUCAAACUCCGAAUGCCGGCUAGAUGAUUGACGGGAGUCAGACUACACGAGAUAAGUUGGGUAGUCAAAAGGGAAAGAGCCCAGACCUACGGCUAAGGUCCCAAAGUGUGUGUUAAGUGGAAAAGGAUGUGGGAUUUCGAAGACAGCUAGGAUGUUGGCUUAGAAGCAGCCAUACAUUAAAAGAGUGCGUAACAGCUCACUAGUCGAGAGGUCCUGCGCCGAAAAUGUCCGGGGCUAAACACAACACCGAAGCCUGGGAAUGUAGUAAUACAUUGGUAGAGGAGCAUUCUUAGAAGCGUAGAAGCCAUACCGAAAGGAAUGGUGGAGUAAUAAGAAGAGAGAAUGCCGGAAUGAGUAGCGAGAAAGAGGUGAGAAUCCUCUUGGCCGAAUAUCUAAGGUUUCCUGAGUAAAGCUGAUCUACUCAGGGUAAGUCGGGGCCUAAGGCAAGGUCGAAAGACGUAGUCGAUGGAUAACAGGUACAGAUUCCUGUACUACAUAUAAUCAGAACUGUGGGGACACGGAGACUAAAACCGAACCCGGGAGGACAAAAACCGGGGCAAGCGAAGUACCUGUAUGGGAGGAAAACCCACCAUACAAGGGGAAAACGUGAUGCGUACCGAAAAUUAGUAGGGAAGUCGGUUAGGGAGCCGUCAAGAAAAGCCGCUAUUGUGUUAUAUGUACCCGUACCGCAAACCGACACAGGUAGAUGAGGAGAGAAUCCUAAGGCCGGCGGGAGAAGCAUUGUUAAGGAACUCGGCAAAAUGACCCCGUAACUUCGGCAAGGUGAAGUAUAUGGGCUGACGCCUGCCCGGUGCCGGAAGGUUAAGAGGAGAAGUCAGGAAACGAAGCUUUGAAUUGAAGCCCCGGUAAACGGCGGCCGUAACUAUAACGGUCCUAAGGUAGCGAAAUUCCUUGUCGGGUAAGUUCCGACCCGCACGAAAGGCGUAAUGAUUUGAGCGCUGUCUCAACAAUGCACCCGGUGAAAUUGAAGUGCCAGUGAAGAUGCUGGUUACCCGCGCCAGGACGGAAAGACCCCAUGGAGCUUUACUCCAGCUUGAUACUGGGAUUCGGUAAUGUAUGCACAGGAUAGGUGGGAGACUGAGAGGAUAGUACUUCGGUAUUAUCGGAGUCGCUGUUGGGAUACCACCCUUAUGUUAUUGGAUUUCUAACCUUAGACCGUAAGCCGGUCAAGGGACAAUGUCAGGUGGGGAGUUUGACUGGGGCGGUCGCCUCCGAAAGUGUAUCGGAGGCGCUCAAAGGUUCCCUCAGGAUGGUUGGAAACCAUCCAAAGAGUGUAAAGGCAUAAGGGAGCCUGACUGCGAGGCUGACGGGCCAAGCAGAGUAGAAAUACGGACUUAGUGAUCCGGUGGUAUGAAAGUGGGAUUGCCAUCGCUCAACGGAUAAAAGCUACCCUGGGGAUAACAGGCUGAUCUCCCCCAAGAGUUCACAUCGACGGGGAGGUUUGGCACCUCGAUGUCGGCUCAUCGCAUCCUGGGGCUGAAGUCGGUCCCAAGGGUUGGGCUGUUCG